GGCGGACGGGUGAGUAACGCGUGAGCAAUCUGCCUUUAGGAGGGGGAUAACAGUCGGAAACGGCUGCUAAUACCGCAUAAUACGUUUGGGAGGCAUCUCUUAAACGUCAAAGAUUUUAUCGCCUUUAGAUGAGCUCGCGUCUGAUUAGCUAGUUGGCGGGGUAACGGCCCACCAAGGCGACGAUCAGUAGCCGGACUGAGAGGUUGAACGGCCACAUUGGGACUGAGACACGGCCCAGACUCCUACGGGAGGCAGCAUG
rnacentral:rRNA from 1 species